rnacentral:tRNA from 1 species
AAGGCCUUAGCUUAAUUAAAGCUUUUGAUUUGCAUUCAAAUUAUGUGGGGUAAAACCCGCAGGUCUUA